UGCUUAAUUGGUCCUACUCUUUUUCGGA
rnacentral:sRNA from 1 species